rnacentral:rRNA from 1 species
UGAACGCUGGCGGCGUGCUUAACACAUGCAAGUCGCACGAGAACGCUUUAGCUUGCUAAAGCUAGUAAAGUGGCGCACGGGUGAGUAACGCGUGGGUAAUCUACCCCCGAAUUUGGGAUAACAUUGCGAAAGCGAUGCUAAUACCGGAUAAUAUCUUUCAAACUUCGGUUUUUGAGAUCAAAGGUGGCCUCUACAUGUAAGCUACUGUUUAGGGAUGAGCCCGCGUACCAUUAGCUAGUUGGUAGGGUAAAAGCCUACCAAGGCAACGAUGGUUAGCUGGUCUGAGAGGAUGAUCAGCCACACUGGAACUGACACACGGUCCAGACUCCUACGGGAGGCAGCAGUGAGGAAUUUUGCGCAAUGGGGGAAACCCUGACGCAGCAACGCCGCGUGAGUGAUGAAGGCUUUCGGGUCGUAAAACUCUGUCAAGUGGGAAGAACCUAUAAGGUGCCAAUACCACCUUGUACUGACGGUACCACUGAAGGAAGCACCGGCUAACUCC